rnacentral:rRNA from 1 species
GACGAACGCUGGCGGCGUGCCUAAUACAUGCAAGUAGAACGCACAGUUUAUACCGUAGCUUGCUACACCAUAGACUGUGAGUUGCGAACGGGUGAGUAACGCGUAGGUAACCUGCCUGGUAGCGGGGGAUAACUAUUGGAAACGAUAGCUAAUACCGCAUAAUAUUGAUUAUUGCAUGAUAAUUGAUUGAAAGAUGCUAUUGCAUCACUACCAGAUGGACCUGCGUUGUAUUAGCUAGUAGGUGAGGUAACGGCUCACCUAGGCGACGAUACAUAGCCGACCUGAGAGGGUGAUCGGCCACCCUGGGACUGAGACACGGCCCAGACUCCUACGGGAGGCAGCAGUAGGGAAUCUUCGGCAAUGGACGAAAGUCUGACCGAGCAACGCCGCGUGAGUGAAGAAGGUUUUCGGAUCGUAAAGCUCUGCUGUAAGAGAAGAACGGGUGUGAGAGUGGAAAGUUCACACUGUGACGGUAUCUUACCAGAAAGGGACGGCUAACUACGUG